GAUUCCUACGGGAGGCAGCAUGGGAAAUAAUUGGACAAUGGGGGGAACCUGAUCCAGGCAUGCCCGCGUGGUGUGAAGAAGGCCUAUAUGGUGUAAAGCAAUUUAAGCGAGGAGGGAGGGCUACUUUAGUUAUUACUUAGAGAUAGUGGACGUUACUCGCAGAAUAGGCACCGGCUAACUCUGUGCCAGCAGCCGCGGUAUACAGAGGGUGCGAGCGUUAAUCGGAUUUACUGGGCGUAAAGCGUGCGUAGGCGGCUUAUUAAGUCGGAUGUGAAAUCCCCGAGCUUAACUUGGGAAUUGCAUUCGAUACUUGUGAGCUAGAGUAUGGGAGAGGAUGGUAGAAUUCCAGGUGUAGCGGUGAAAUGCGUAGAGAUCUGGAGGAAUACCGAUGGCGAAGGCAGCCAUCUGGCCUAAUACUGACGCUGAGGUACGAAAGCAUGGGGAGCAAACAGGAUUAGAUACCCUGGUAGUCCAUGCCGUAAACGAUGUCUACUAGCCGUUGGGGCCUUUGAGGCUUUAG
rnacentral:rRNA from 1 species